CCUACGGGAGGCAGCAGUAAGGAAUAUUGGUCAAUGGACGCAAGUCUGAACCAGCCAUGCCGCGUGAAGGAUGACAGCCCUACGGGUUGUAAACUUCUUUUAUCGGGGAAUAAAGUGCGCCACGCGUGGCGUUUUGUAAGUACCCGAGGAAUAAGGAUCGGCUAACUCCGUGGCAGCAGCCGCGGUAAU
rnacentral:rRNA from 1 species